UAACAUUCCGUGUGUAAAAUGUAUGUACAUUCAUACUACAUGAAUUCAGACACAAGAUACAUAAUAGACGUGACAUUGGAUAUUCGUCGUAGUAGACUAGUGACAGGGAUGAGGUACAGACAUAGUCAGUGUUUAUAUAGAAAAAGGUAUCAUGUUUGGCGGUAAGAGAUAUACCGAAGAUAACCGAAGUGCACCGAAGUAAAUGAUGCCGAAGAUGAUAUAGAGUGAAAUUGAAAUAAUUACCGCCAUUUUAAAAUUUAACUUGAUCAAUGUUGGAAGAGUAGUGCCAUCUUUAGUAUCACAUAUUAUUUUGCAAAUAGAAUAAGUUGGCGCUAUUUAUAGCGCUAGAAUUAUAUCUUUUAUGUUCAUAGUUUAUUAAAAAGAAUGAG
rnacentral:misc_RNA from 1 species